UACGGGGGGAGCAAGCGUUGUUCGGAUUUACUGGGCGUAAAGGGCGCGUAGGCGGCGUGACAAGUCACUUUGUGAAAUCUCCGGGGCUUAACUCGGAAACGGGUCAAGUGAUACUGGUCGGACUAGAGUACAGAAGGGGCAACUGGAAUUCUCGGGUGGUAGCGGUGAAAUGCGUAGAUAUCGAGAGGAACACCUGCGGCGAAGGCGG
rnacentral:rRNA from 1 species